rnacentral:rRNA from 1 species
UACAGAGGUCCCAAGCGUUGUUCGGAUUCAUUGGGCGUAAAGGGUGCGUAGGCGGCGCGGUAAGUCGGGUGUGAAAUCUCGGAGCUUAACUCCGAAACUGCAUUCGAUACUGCCGUGCUUGAGGACUGGAGAGGAGACUGGAAUUUACGGUGUAGCGGUGAAAUCGUAGAUAUCGUAAGGAAGACCAGUGGCGAAGGCGGGUCUCUGGACAGUUCCUGACGCUGAGGCACGAAGGCCAGGGGAGCAAACGGG